rnacentral:rRNA from 1 species
GAUGAACGCUGGCGGCGUGCCUAAUACAUGCAAGUCGAGCGAACAGAUGAGGAGCUUGCUCCUCUGACGUUAGCGGCGGACGGGUGAGUAACACGUGGAUAACCUACCUAUAAGACUGGGAUAACUUCGGGAAACCGGAGCUAAUACCGGAUAAUAUAUUGAACCGCAUGGUUCAAUAGUGAAAGACGGUUUUGCUGUCACUUAUAGAUGGAUCCGCGCCGCAUUAGCUAGUUGGUAAGGUAACGGCUUACCAAGGCAACGAUGCGUAGCCGACCUGAGAGGGGGAUCGGCCACACUGGAACUGGGACGCGGUCCAGACUCCUACGGGAGGCAGCAGUAGGGAAUCUGCCGCAAUGGGCGAAAGCCUGACGGAGCAACGCCGCGUGAGUGAUGAAGGUCUUCGGAGCGUAAAACUCUGUUAUUAGGGAAGAACAAAUGUGUAAGUAACUAUGCACGUCUUGACGGUACCUAAUCAGAAAGCCACGGCUAACUACGUG